rnacentral:rRNA from 1 species
GACGAACCGUGCGAACGCUGUUCGGAAUCACUGGGCUUAAAGGGCGCGUAGGCGGGCUGCCAAGUCUGGGGUGAAAUCCCACGGCUCAACCGUGGAACUGCCUCGGAUACUGGCGGCCUCGAGGGAGGUAGGGGCGUGCGGAACUGUGGGUGGAGCGGUGAAAUGCGUUGAUAUCCACAGGAACUCCGGUGGCGAAGGCGGCACGCUGGACCUCUUCUGACGCUGAGGCGCGAAAGCCAGGGGAGCAAACGGG